CCUACGGGAGGCAGCAGUGAGGAAUAUUGGUCAAUGGACGAGAGUCUGAACCAGCCAAGUAGCGUGAAGGAUGACUGCCCUAUGGGUUGUAAACUUCUUUUAUAAAGGAAUAAAACGAGGCACGUGUGCCUUUUUGCAUGUACUUUAUGAAUAAGGAUCGGCUAACUCCGUGCCAGCAGCCGCGGUAAUACGGAGGAUCCGAGCGUUAUCCGGAUUUAUUGGGUUUAAAGGGAGCGUAGAUGGUUUGUUAAGUCAGUUGUGAAAGUUUGCGGCUCAACCGUAAAAUUGCAAUUGAUACUGGCAGUCUUGAGUGCAGUUGAGGUAGGCGGAAUUCGUGGUGUAGCGGUGAAAUGCGUAGAUAUCAAGAAGAAUACCGAUUGCGAAGGCAGCUUGCUAAACUGUGACUGACACUGAUGCUCGAAAGUGUGGGGAGCAAACAGGAUUAGAUACCCUAGUAGUC
rnacentral:rRNA from 1 species